rnacentral:rRNA from 1 species
GAUCCUGGCUCAGAACGAACGCUGGCGGCGUGCUUAACACAUGCAAGUCGAGUGCGCGGUUGUAGCAAUACAACUGGCGCACGGCGCACGGGUGCGUAACACGUGGGCAAUCUGCCCUCCGAUGGGGAAUAACCCCGCGAAAGCGGGGCUAAUUCCGCAUAACAUUCCCUGGACUCCGGUUCGGGGAUUCAAAGCAGCAAUGCGUCGGAGGAGGAGCCCGCGCCCGAUUAGCUAGUUGGUGAGGUAACGGCUCACCAAGGCUAUGAUCGGUAGCUGGUCUGAGAGGAUGGCCAGCCACACUGGAACUGAGACACGGUCCAGACUCCUACGGGAGGCAGCAGUGGGGAAUCUUGCGCAAUGGGCGAAAGCCUGACGCAGCGACGCCGCGUGGGGGAUGAAGCUUCUCGGAGUGUAAAGCCCUUUCGACCGGGACGAAUGCCCGCAAGGGAGUGACGGUACCGGUAGAAGAAGCCCCGGCUAACUACGUGCCAGCAGCCGCGGUAAGACGUAGGGGGCCAGCGUUGUUCGGAAUUACUGGGUGUAAAGGGUUCGUAGGCGGUGUGGCAAGUCGGGAGUGAAAUUUCUGGGCUUAACUCAGAACCUGCUUCCGAAACUGCUGUGCUCGAGUGUGGGAGAGGCGCGUGGAAUUGCAGGUGUAGCGGUGAAAUGCGUAGAUAUCUGCAGGAACACCCGUGGCGAAAGCGGCGCGCUGGACCACUACUGACGCUGAGGAACGAAAGCUAGGGGAGCAAACAGGAUUAGAUACCCUGGUAGUCCUAGCCCUAAACGAUCAGGACUUGGGGUGCCACCCGUUCGGGUGUCGUCCCGGAGCUAACGCGUUAAGUCCUGCACCUGGGGAGUACGGUCGCAAGACUGAAACUCAAAGGAAUUGACGGGGGCCCGCACAAGCGGUGGAACAUGUGGUUCAAUUCGACGCUACGCGAGGAACCUUACCUGGGCUC